AGUGAACGCUGGCGGUAGGCCUAACACAUGCAAGUCGAACGGCAGCACAGUAAGAGCUUGCUCUUACGGGUGGCGAGUGGCGGACGGGUGAGGAAUACAUCGGAAUCUACUUUUUCGUGGGGGAUAACGUAGGGAAACUUACGCUAAUACCGCAUACGACCUACGGGUGAAAGCAGGGGAUCUUCGGACCUUGCGCGAUUGAAUGAGCCGAUGUCGGAUUAGCUAGUUGGCGGGGUAAAGGCCCACCAAGGCGCCGAUCCGUAGCUGGUCUGAGAGGAUGGUCGGCCACACUAGAACUGGGACACGGUCCAGACUCCUACGGGAGGCAGCAGUUGGGAAUAUUGGACAAUGGGCGCAAGCCUGAUCCAGCCAUACCGCGUGUGUUAAGAAGGCCUUCGGGUUGUAAAGCCCUUUUGUUGGGAAAGAAAAGCAGCAGGUUAAUACCCCGCUGUUCUGACGGUACCCAAAGAAUAAGCACCGGCUAACUUCGUG
rnacentral:rRNA from 1 species